UACGUAGGGUGCAAGCGUUAUCCGGAAUUAUUGGGCGUAAAGAGCUCGUAGGCGGCUUGUCGCGUCGGAUGUGAAAACUCGGGGCUCAACUCCGAGCUUGCAUUCGAUACGGGCAGGCUAGAGUUCGGUAGGGGAGACUGGAAUUCCUGGUGUAGCGGUGAAAUGCGCAGAUAUCAGGAGGAACACCGGUGGCGAAGGCGGGUCUCUGGGCCGAUACUGACGCUGAGGAGCGAAAGCGUGGGGAGCGAACAGG
rnacentral:rRNA from 1 species